rnacentral:lncRNA from 1 species
ACCCUGCAGAGGCAGCUCUCACAGGGUCUUUGUGAGCGACUGCAGCUCAGCCCAAUUCCCUCUUCACUCAGUGUCUGCUGCUUUCUUUUCAGGUUUGGUUUCAAAACUGCAGAGCCCGCCAUAAAAAACACACGCCCCAGCACACGGUGCCGCCCUCGGGGGCCCCCCCAUCCCGCAUCCCCUCUUCGCUCCCCGAGGACAUCCACUACUCGCCCUUCAGCAGCCCGGAGCGGGCCCGGAUGGUGACGCUGCACGGAUACAUAGAGAGUCAGGUACAGUGUGGACAAGUGCACUGUAGACUUCCCUACACUGCUCCACCAGUGCACCUCAAAGCAGACAUGGAAGGACCACUAUCUAAUAGGGGUGAGAAGGUCAUCCUCUUUCAGUACUGACUGCGCGAGCUCUUCCUCAUCUGCCCACGGCGCUACCAGCACCACUGCCCCUCAGUCGCUGAAACAGCGUCCAGCCCGAGGCAACUGUUCUCAGUCAUGCAGGAGAAACUCAGAUCCAGCACUCUCAGUUGUUCCCAUUGACCAGCAUCUAACAUCCACUAUUAUUUCUCCAGCAACACUCUGUGUAUGUGUGUGUCGAGUGCAGAGUUACAUUUUUCACUUGUUUCUUGUGGACUUGUAGAAUGACAGUGAGUCUCUCCAAGGCAAUGCCAGACACAGCCAAAAUUAGUGACUCUGCUGUGCUUACAAAUCCUGCUCCCCAGUCACGGGAAUAUGAACAGAUCAGUUCACGCUGAGUCACAGGGGGUUCGAUGAUCACCUAUGAAUAUAAAGAAAGGAGGAAUUUACGUGGUUUGGCCUGAUUCUCUUUUUGCACCAGUGAAGCAGUGUUGGUUCCCGGACGUCCCUCCUUAUUUACACUUGCAUGUGUGAAAUCCGAAAUGGGCUCUUUGGCUCAGCAACUCAGUAUACACACAGGACUCCUGAGCCAAAGCCGCAGGUAGCUGUGGCUCCACUAAGUGGAAAACAUGAUGCCAGCUGGAAAUAGGCAGUUAUCCUUCCUCCUCAAAGUGCUUUAGAAUCACAUGUCCUUUGAUCACUCUGUAAGGUAAGUAAACCUUAGUGUUUCCCCCCCUCAUUUUGCAGGAGGGGAAAUGGAGAUGUCCUGAACCGAAAGGAGCGGUGGGGGUUGGUGGCAGAGCCAGGUUUAGCACUCUGAAGGUUUUGAUUGCUGACAUGUUCUCAGAGCACUGAAUAUCUCUCUCCUCUCACAGCCAUCUGCCAAAUCUUUCAUUGUUGUUUUUAUUAUUAGUCUCAUUUUUUAUUAACAAGCUACUUUAUUUCCGUGGAGUCAUGUUGGAUCACAAAUGGGUGAUUUCAAAGUGUACCUACACAAAACUUAGGCACUCCAUACACUGGGCCUGGGGAAUCCUUAAAGGAAGCUGAUUGUAAAUGCGUAGAAAAGUCUUGCCCUGGUACGGGCCCCAGGAGAGGCACCCAGUGCUGUGCUCAGUGCUCACUGAGGGCAGCAGGGGAGGAACCCGGGAGCAGUCAGGGAGGUGCAGCCAGCAGUAAGGCCGGCAGGAGCGGUCCUGGCUGAGUGGCAGCAAGGUGACGGUGUAUUCAUUUGUCCGUCAGUGCCCGAUUACCUCUGCCCUUGCCUUGUUCCCCCUUCCCGGAGCACAACUGUUGCUUCUGCCAUGGCUGGGAUGGAGGCGCAGCCCCAGCCGGCUGCUUGCAGAGGAGCGGGUGAUGCAGGGCUCACCCUCAGAGGCAGUCUCGCUGCAACAACAAAGGAAGUACUCGGCCCUCUGGCCCCAAAUCAGGAAAAAGCCUCUGAAAUGAUACUUCAUUGACAGUAAGAACAAAAGUAAACAGCUAGCAUUUGCCAGCCCUUCUCAGCUUGCACCAAGACACAAGCAGGCCGAUAACAAAACCUCUCUUCAUGUGAGUGCACGGGUCUGUCUGUCUUGCUGCUCGGUGUCUGUGCGGCAUUUCCAAGAAUGUGAAAGCCUACCAUGAGCCACAGUUAGUGCAUGACGUGACUGAGCGGUGCCUGCGGGACAGACGACAGGAAUCCAUUGGUUGCAUAUAUUGUUUUCGGUUCAAGCCGUAGAUACGCGUGUUUUUCUCUCGGUGAGAUCCAUCUCCAGCAGCCCUUGGUGGCUGAGCCAGGCGGGUGGCACCAGGCCGGGCCUGCUGGGCGCUGGUGGCCCUGCACAGUCACCGUGGGCUGCUCAGGGACUUGUGUGAGGAGACACGGAUAUCUGCCGAGGUGGCCACCGAGAUCUCUUGAUUUGAGGAAUAACCAAAUGCAAGCACACGCUGAUACAUGUUGGAACAAAUACAUACAAACCUCUGUGUGUAUGUAUGUAAAGCAGGGAGAGUGAUGGUAGUAUUCGGACAGUGAGGCCAGUAUUCUGUCUAAUUGCAGCUAGCAGCUCUACCUCCAUUUUAAAACAGCAUUUGGAAGGAGGGAGGAAAUUAGGUCCAUAAAGUAUUAUUGUCACCUCCUGACGCACCAAUAACCACUUCCAGCGUGUGACCCACCACAAGGGACUCCCGCACGCGUGGCCUGGCAGCAACCACCACUCCAAAGUGUCUCCGUGGGGCAGGAACGGUCACAAGCUGCUCCCGUUCCUGCCGCAUUUCUCCCUGUCUGUAGCGAUGAGCGAAAGGACUGGCAGACCUUUUGUUGGCUGUGAGUGCUGCUUCCCGGCACGUGUGGCUGCGGGGUGUACGUGGCGUGCAGUGUCUGCGUGAAACGGCCUUCAGAUGCUGGGGGUGGUCGGCGGGGUCACCAGGGCCCCACUUUCUUCUCCAUUUGUGCUCGCGCAUUGGAAUGAUUGUUUAGUUGUGGACUUAGUGCUAUAAACUAAUGGGUAGCUGUCCAAUUUAAGGCUGAAGGAGAGACCUCAGGCUGUAACUUGACCUGACAUCCCCCAGUACUUGAGAUUUCCACAACUGUUUUGUUGAGGGAGAAAACGGUCUGUUGCAUUUAUCUUCUGUCUCAGCAGUGCAGUGAAAGGGAGGCUAUUAACUAUGUAUCUGCUAAAUAUCAGCUUAGUCACUGACCAAGAGAACCACUUGUGAAAUGUACUGUAUGUCAAAGUUUUUGUAGCUGAUACCACGGACGGGACCAGCAUGCGAAACGCAGGGUAACACGGAGGUCUCUCCCCAGCCACGCUGUGCUCACAGCGACCUGCACUGCACAGACCCUGCCCGAGGGCAGCUCCCCCCGUAAGUAGCCAGGAGCAGCUUUGCUAAUUCAGAAAUCAGGCUCUGUUCAUAUUAAGCCCAAAUUGUUUGCAAAAACUGGAAGCAAUUCAGCUUGUGCAGUUUUAGAGCUAAUUAUGUGUAUGGAAAAUACUCAACUCUACCAAGAAUGUAAGAAAUUCUCUAAUUUAUUCAAUACGUUGUUUCACAAUAUAUUUCACACUGACUGUUGCCACUGAACCAAGCCUUAUCUCAGGUCAUUUGCAUUCAUCUCCUGUCUGUAGAUUUAAAAAAAAAAAAAAAGAAAAGAAAAAGUAAAACUCAUUCUCAUUUUCUUCGUUUAUUCAGUAAUUGCCAAAUAAGUCCUGGUGCAGCAAUGCAGACUCCAUGUAUUAAACUUUUCCAGUUGCUAUUUACAAAACUUUUGCAGACAAAAUCUGGUGAAGAUAGGCAGUGAAAGGCUUUUCACUCGAUUUUAAUAAGGUAACUAAAUAUAGUGAGGGUCUGAAAGUGGAAUGGUUUACAAUUUUAUUGCUUUUUUUUUUUUUUUUUUUCUUUUGGCUCACGCUGGUUAACCCCAAUGCCCUAGCUAAAGGUGCUUACACAACUUACUAGUUGGGACGGGGGAGUGGGAAUCAAUCCUGCACUACUAUCAGUGAUAUAUCUGUAGGAUGCCAACUAUAGACACAUCGGUUUUAUUUCAUCAGCCAAUCAUUUUGUUGUAG